UAGGGAAUCUUCCGCAAUGGACGCAAGUCUGACGGAGCCACGCCGCGUGAGUGAAGAAGGAUCUCGGUUCGUAAAACUCUGUUGUUAGAGAAGAACAGCGCAUAGAGUAACUGUUAUGCGUGUGACGGUAUCUAACCAGAAAGCCACGGCUAACUACGUGCCAGCAGCCGCGGUAAUACGUAGGUGGCAAGCGUUGUCCGGAUUUAUUGGGCGUAAAGCGAGCGCAGGCGGUCAAUUAAGUCUGAUGUGAAAGCCCCCGGCUCAACCGGGGAAGGUCAUUGGAAACUGGUUGACUUGAGUGCAGAAGAGGAGAGUGGAAUUCCAUGUGUAGCGGUGAAAUGCGUAGAUAUAUGGAGGAACACCAGUGGCGAAGGCGACUCUCUAGUCUGUAACUGACGCUGAGGUUCGAAAGCGUGGGUAGCAAACAGG
rnacentral:rRNA from 1 species